GACCCCAGGUCAGGCGGGA
rnacentral:ncRNA from 4 species